CACAGCGGUGAAAUGAAGUAGGUACUCAUAUAUAAAUUAAGCAAGCGAAGUUCAUUGUGAAUAGUGUGGUUUAUGCUGACAUCGCAGUUAGGUAGUUCAAGUCUCAAAACGGUUUCAAGAUGAAACUAGCUUAUAUAUAUGGAUUGAUAGGUUUCGUGAUAUUCGCGCUGAGUUCCGAAGUAAAUUCGGGCUUACCAGGAGAUCGUCUAUUAGAUGGAAUUGGAGCUGGAGGAUCCAAAGACUCGUCGUCUUCGUCAGGAUCCAAAGACUCGGCGUCUUUUUCAGGAACCGAUAACGCGACAGAAACCACCGAAGACCCGGCAUCUUCGUCAGGAUCUGAAGACCAGUCAAGUUCCGAAGAAGAUCCGACAGACUCCGACGAAGAGGGGCCGUCGGCUUCCGCAGAACCCCCGUUAGAACCCGAAGAUCUGGUGUCUUCAUCAGGAUCCAAAGACCCGUCAGAAUCCGAGGACUCGUCGCCUUCGUCAGGAUCCGAUGGCGAACCCGACUCUUGGGACAUCUUUACAUGGUUUUUUGGAAAUUCCGAUGGUGAUAAGUAGGGCAACCCAAAAUAUGCUCUCAUUCGAGGUAAAAUCUUGAAUAGGUAGGUAUUAUAUUCGAUUUUUUGGAAUAAAAUAUUGCCGAAAUAUUCGAAUACCCUAAAAAUAUUCGAAUUCAAAAUGGGUAUCGUUUCACUUGUCUUGGCAUGCACAUUACAAAAAUGGUUAUAUCGUUGGGUUUUGUUUCCUAAAUUACACACACUAUUCGCAAAAUACAACAAAAUUGUUGAAUUUGAUUUUAAAUUCUAUUUUAAUCGUCAAAAAAAGAAACAACAUCGAAGCUUUUAAUCUAUAACUGAAUCUUCAUCAUCAUUCCAUCAAUCAUUUCAUCAUCAUCAAAAACAUCCAUUUUUUUCAUUUUCAACAUAGGUACUGUGAAAAUAACGUUUACUGUGUUGCGAUUCUCAAAAUGGAAAAAUUUCCAAAAAAUUCAAAAAUUUUCGAUAAAUUGUGAAAUAUGUGGUAAUUUUUGACGAAAAUAUUUAAAUGCAAUCGAACAUGUGAAAAUAUGCAUUUUAAGGCAAAAUAUUCGAAAAUUCGAAAUGUAGUUGGGCUUAUUUGAAAUGAAAUUUUCUGAAACAUGAAAUGAUUUCGUUACAUUUGUAAUCGGAGUGUUAAAAAAAAACAUUCAAAAAAAUAUAUCGGGUUACCCUAAUGCUAAGAGCGGACAAUAAAGUGACAGUGAUGAACCAAAAGGAGGAAAAAUUCAAAUCAUUUUCAUCUCAAAAAUACUCUUGAAUUUCAAGCCAUUGCUCAUCAAUGCAGUUCAAUUCCUUCAUGUCAUUCUCGCACCAAUAUCAUUGGACACGCUGAAGAUAUCUACCUUAUUCGUAUUACAAACUGUAUAUUUAGAUAUGUUGUAGGUAAUGUUAUCAAUAAUACAUACGUAGACCUAAUCAUAAAACCCAUUAUAAUAUUGUAAUUACACGACAGUGAAAUAAUG